UCCAGGCCCUACGGGGCGCAGCAGGCGCGAAACCUUUGCAAUGCGGGAAACCGUGAUAAGGGGACCCCGAGUGCCCCUGCCACGCAGGGGCUGUCCGGGUGUGUAAAAAGCACCCGACAGCAAGGGCUGGGCAAGACCGGUGCCAGCCGCCGCGGUAACACCGGCAGCCCGAGUGGUGGCCACUAUUAUUGGGUCUAAAGCGUCCGUAGCCGGCCUAGUAAGUCUCUCGGGAAAUCCGGCGGCUUAACCGUCGGGCGUCCGAGAGAUACUGCUAGGCUUGGGACCGGGAGAGGCCGAGGGUACUCCCGGGGUAGGGGUGAAAUCCUGUAAUCCCGGGAGGACCACCGGUGGCGAAGGCGCUCGGCUGGAACGGGUCCGACGGUGAGGGACGAAGGCCAGGGGAGCGAACCGGAUUAGAUACCCGGGUAGUCCUGGCUGUAAACGAUGCGGGCUAGGUGUCGGGUGAGCUACGGGCUCACCCGGUGCCGGAGGGAAGCCGUGAAGCCCGCCACCUGGGGAGUACGGCCGCAAGGCUGAAACUUAAAGGAAUUGGCGGGGGAGCACCACAACGGGUGGGGCCUGCGGUUUAAUUGGAUUCAACGCCGGG
rnacentral:rRNA from 1 species